rnacentral:lncRNA from 1 species
AGCGCGCGGGGGCCCGCGGGAGAGAGAGAGAGAGAGAGAGAGGGACACGGGGGGACCAAGGUGUAACACACUGGACCUUUACAAAUUACGAGGUUCGAGUGUUUGGACAGUGUUCUGAGUUUUUCCAGACUUUCUGGUGGGUCGUAGACAGUAUUCCGACGUAUGGUUCGAACCCCGAAAAUUGAGGUCUAAAGCCUAACACCAAAACCCGAAAAAUUGAAUUUUUGGUUAGCUCUCGGGUAGCCUUCAUUGGGCCAUGUACCGGUACAGGGUUGAUGGCUGUACCGGUACAGGGUUGAUGGUUGUACCGGUACGGGAUUGUGUACCGGUACACAGGCAGCUUCCCAGCCAACCCGAGACUCGGGUUUGACAUUUUCGUGGGAUGUGUACCGGUACGUGGGCCCAUGUACCGGUACGCAGUGGCAGUUUUUGAGCAGUUUAAACUGCAGGGGAUUUUUCGCAAUUGUGGUCUUCUAUU